UUGUUGUAUUUGCAAAUGAAAAUAAAGGUGAAGUGAAGAAGGGCUUAUACAGUCGUGUGGAGCUCACUGGAGAGAAUGUUACUGAUUCGUUCUCAGUGGAAUGGACUGAAACAAAAGGAUCACAAACGUGUCUAUGUUUAAGAAAAAAUAGCACAUUCAUGGCUUCAUACAAUCCUUGCUGUGGAACGGUUCAUUUCUUUUUGAACAAUAACAGCCUCGUUAUGGAGAACGUGACCGCAGAAGAUGAAGGAGUAUUCACUGAAACGAUAGUUCUACUAAACAGAACUACAAAACGCCAAAACUUUACAUUAAUCAUUCAAUACCCUCCGAAUGCAACAGAAAUCGUGGUCUCCUGGACCUCCAACACAUCUGUGACUCUCAAAUGUGAAGUGAGCGGCUUAUUUCUGAAUCUGACGUGGAAGAGAGAAGGAGUCCCUAUUCUAGAGAAACACAGACACUCUUUCAGUGAGAGAAACCAAACUCUACACAUCGACAACAUAACCAGCUCUGAUU